rnacentral:misc_RNA from 1 species
UUCCUAUUGAAAUGAAAAUUUUAGAAUAAACAAAUAAAUUUAGAAGAAAUCAAUGAAAUUUCAUUUGAAUGAAUGAGUUUUUACUUCUAUAGUAGUCAGAGCUAAAGUCUGAAGUUCAACUCAAAGGAAGCAAUAAAAUAAUAAAUUUCAUUGGACCCAGAGAUAGUUAAUGGAUAUGGUAACACAAUCUCGAUAAAUUCAAUUUAAUAAUGAUUCUUUUUCGAAAUUUUCAAAGAUAAAAAGAAUUAAAUUAAAUUAAACUAAACCUCACCUUGAAUAUCUGGGAGUGUUGGAAAAAAGCAAAGGUUUUCUAAUUUGUAGCUCUCAAAUUAAUGAUAGAUAUAAUCGAAAUCAAAUAAAAGUAACCAAAAAUGAAAGCAAGAAGGCUGAGGAAGAACAGACCUG